GUUUUCUCUCUCUACACACACGGCACAGUUAUGGUGUCAUUGUGAUAAACAGUAGAGAGUUGGUUUAAGCUUUCAUGGAAAUAAGUAAGAGAGAGAAAAAAAGUGUGCAUCGCUUCCAAGAUAAAAAUGGCGACUAAACAAGCUUCGAAAUUCCAGAAAUUGAGCUCAAGAGUAGCGAAUUCGCCUACGUCAUCAACAACAUCGUCAUCUAAGCAGUUUCCAGAACAUUCUAUAGAUGGUGUGAGCUCCCCGGCUUCCUCAUCAGCUAGGAGUAAGCCGCAGUUUCAUUACUCGGAGAGUGUGUCAGUAGAGACAGAGAGACCCAAAGAGAAUGUUACGGUGACAGUGCGUUUCCGACCUCUGAGCCCGAGGGAGAUUCGACAAGGGGAGGAAAUCUCAUGGUACGCAGAUGGAGAAACUAUUGUUAGAAAUGAGCGUAAUCCUUCACUUGCUUAUGCAUAUGAUAGGGUUUUUGGUCCUACCACCACAACACGUCAUGUCUAUGAUGUUGCUGCACAACAUGUUAUUGGUGGUUCCAUGGAAGGCAUAAAUGGCACGAUCUUUGCGUACGGGGUUACGAGCAGCGGG
rnacentral:misc_RNA from 1 species